UCAACAGAUUAUUUUUCAUUUAAUUUAUGUGCACUGGCAUGAAGGUGUCAGAUCCCCCUGGAACUGGAGUUACAGACAGUUGUGAGCUGCCAUGUGGGUGCUGGGAAUUAAACCCGGGACCUCGGGAAGAGUAAGUAGUCUGUGCUCUUAACCGCUGAACCAUCUCUCUAGCCCCCAGUUUUGUUCUUUUACUUAAGAUAGUGUCUCACACCACAGUCUGAGCUACCCUCGAACUUGUGGCAGCCCUCUUUCUUCGGUCUCCGGGCUACUGGGGUUACUGGUUGAUCCCACCACAUAUUCCUUGAUGGACUACAACUGUAACGUAUAAGGAAAACAGCACUGAGUUCAAAGUUCGUGCUUGUCAAUUGCCAUGCAACAUCUGGAAAAACAACAGAGAUGGAGACAUCCUAUAAGCCCUUCCCACUGGUCUUCUAAACAAAGGAAUGGGGAGCAACCACUGUGAGGUCACCAACACUUCUGCCUGGAGAGGUCCCUGAAACUGAUACUCACUGACUCUGCUAGGAGGCGUCAUUGGGAAAAGCAUCCAGCUCACAGACGCUCUCAAUCCUUUGUCCCAGUUAUAAAAAGGUUAACAGAGAGAUGGCUCAGCGGUUACCAGCAUUGGCUGUUCUUCCAGAAGACGAGGGUUCAAUUCCCAGCACUCACACAACAGCUCAGAGCCUUCUCUAAGUCCUGUCCCAGGGAAUCCAACACCUCCUGGCCUCUGAAGGUACCAGGCAAGCAAAUGGUACACAAACUUACAUGGAGUAAGACACCCAUACACAAAAGAAGGAAGAAAGUUAACC
rnacentral:lncRNA from 1 species